rnacentral:rRNA from 1 species
CUGGCUCAAGACGAACGCUGGCGGCGUGCCUAAUACAUGCAAGUCGAACGGUCUUUCUAUGGAAGCUUGCUUCCACUGAGAAGAUAGUGGCGAACGGGUGAGUAACACGUGGGUAACCUGCCCAUAAGAGGGGGGAUAACAUCCGGAAACGGGUGCUAAUACCGCAUAGUUUUCUUGAUCGCAUGAUCGGGAAAGGAAAGACGGCCUUUGUGCUGUCGCUUAUGGAUGGACCCGCGGCGUAUUAGUUAGUUGGUGAGGUAACGGCUCACCAAGACGAUGAUACGUAGCCGACCUGAGAGGGUGAUCGGCCACAUUGGGACUGAGACACGGCCCAAACUCCUACGGGAGGCAGCAGUAGGGAAUCUUCCGCAAUGGACGAAAGUCUGACGGAGCAACGCCGCGUGAGUGAAGAAAAGGUUUUCGGAUCGUAAAACUCUGUUGUCAGAGAAGAACAAGUUGGAGAGUAACUGCUCCAGCCUUGACGGUAUCUGACCAGAAAGCCACGGCUAACUACGUGCCAGCCGCUGC